CAGGAUGAGAUCUCCUAGCAGAAAUGUGAGAGACCCCUUAGAGACGAUGAGGUAGAUAGGGCAGGGGUGGAAGUGCAGCGAUGCAUGGAGCUGACUGCUACUAAUCGGUCGAAAGCUUGACCUA
rnacentral:ncRNA from 1 species